AUUGAACGCUGGCGGAAUGCUUUACACAUGCAAGUCGAACGGCAGCACGGACUUCGGUCUGGUGGCGAGUGGCGAACGGGUGAGUAAUACAUCGGAACGUGCCCAGUCGUGGGGGAUAACGUAGCGAAAGCUACGCUAAUACCGCAUACGAUCUACGGAUGAAAGCGGGGGAUCGCAAGACCUCGCGCGAUUGGAGCGGCGGAUGGCAGAUUAGGUAGUUGGUAGGGUAAGGCCUACCAAGCCGACGAUCUGUAGCUGGUCUGAGAGGAUGAUCAGCCACACUGGGACUGAGACACGGCCCAGACUCCUACGGGAGGCAGCAGUGGGGAAUUUUGGACAAUGGACGCAAGUCUGAUCCAGCCAUUCCGCGUGCAGGAUGAAGGCCCUCGGGUUGUAAACUGCUUUUGUACAGAACGAAAAGGCUCUGGUUAAUACCUGGGGCUCAUGACGGUACUGUAAGAAUAAGCACCGGCUAACUACGUGCCAGCCGCCGCCGUAA
rnacentral:rRNA from 1 species